GCAGGGAACGAAUAAGCAUCUCCCUCUCUGCAGGAACUCUCCAGGACACACUGCAACAGGUGCUGAAAUCUGAGAAAGACUUUCAUACAAGCAAGGUAAAUUAUUUCUAUGCAAUUUUUUUUGCGGUAAAUGUGUCAGUUGAAACUAGUAGGCUAACAUAGCUUUAGCUGUGCUCUUUAGGGUUCAUUCAUUUCAGAAGAAUAGAAGAAACAUAAGUAAUGUUGGAUUUUCUGCACCUAUGGUAAAUGGUAAUAUUGGCAUUAGCCAUAGCUAUACCACUUAUGUUAUUUUAACGAUGUGGGGUGAAAGUUAAAGGGUGUGAAUAAUGUUAAAUAAAUUGUUAUUUCAUUCUCAAUAUAGGCUACCAUAUGGCAUAAAGUCAGUUGUAGGCCAUGCUUUUUGGUAGCCUAUUCAGUUCAUGUUAGGCUACAAAUCCUUGUGAAGCUAUGCGAGUAUUGGUAUAUACAUAUUUGCAAAGUCCAAUCUAUCUCUAGACCUAUGGUAUCAUUGUAUAAAUGACAACGAUGUAUGGGGUGGAUUUAUACGAUAGUGAACUAUUCGUACUUUCAAGUCAAAGCAGCUAUCAGCAACAGCAGCCUACAAGUAACAGAGGCUGAUUCGUUUGAGGGCCUAUAGACGCGUUCAUUCUAACGGCUGAUUUUAUAGUUUCUAUAGCUAGCCCAUCAAAGCCAUAUUAUUAUUUUAUAAUUACAUUUUAAUUAUUGUUAGGAGGAGCCGGUUAUUCGAUGAUAGAAAGAAAUCGGAAGUGGGCUACUUUGCCAUGACCAAUGAGCAAUAUGAAUAGUACACAAUAUUAUAACUAUUUACAUUGUACAUUUAUAGAUGUUAUCAUAACAUCAUUGAUUUAACAAUAUGGUGUAGAAUACUAUUAAUCCUUGUAAAACGUAUGCAACCUUUAUCAACUUAGCUUAGGUUACUUCUAUUAUUUAGGCCUACUAUGUGGAGAUGACAUACACAUUAGUCAAAUAAUAGUUAAAAGGUAAGGCACUGCUGAAAAUAUUUUCCUCUAUAAAUGUUUAGUCUACCAGAACCCUGCGUCCAGCCAUGCAGUAUAGGCUAUGCCAUGUGGACAGUGCACCUAUCAUGGAAGCCUAUAAAACAGGACGUGACGCAGGAAGGGGGCGUGCCUGGUCCUUUGAUGGUCCAUAAUGAAUUCACCUAAGGCUGAAUUAUGAGGUGGUUUUGCACCAAGGAAAGAGGAGGGCCUGGAAUUACUCAAAAACACUACUUAAAAAAAAUACUGUUAACUGUACCCAGACAGGCCUACAGACCGUCACCUGUACAAAAUUAGGAAGGUAAGACAAAAACAAAGAUGAAAUAUGAAUCUAUUGUCAUAAUGCUAAUUUAUACUAUAUCUGACAUUUACAGGUGCAAAAGUUGCUUUAUACAGGUUUAGAAUGCCUAAAUCAGGCCCCAUGCAUAAAUGACCGUCUCAAAACAUUUCAAGAAAACAAAUUUGACAAUUUCUCAGAUAUGGUCUACCGAAUCCCGGAGCCGACUUGGUGAAAAAUCUUCCGAUGUGCCCUUGAGCAAGGCACUUAACCCUAUUUACUCUUCGUCUGCUAAAUGAUGUAAAUGUAGUCUCCCAUUGGCCAUAAGUUCACCUAUAAUGUCAGGUAUUGAGGUUUACAUGUUACUCAAAUUAAAUAUAAUUGUUGUUGUAGAAAAGUAAUUUAUAGGCCUGUCGUCACUGCUGAACAUGCUUCGAUCUACUUGCUUAUGUCUUCAACAAAAUCAAAGUCUUCAACGAUCUCAUCUAUAGCUGGGUUGCCUUGUUUCUUUGGUUAAUAUUGUAAAUAUAUUGAUUGUAGUCCCAGAACAGCAACACAUCUAUCCCUACACAAAUCCAAUUUAACCAGACUAUGCUAAAUAAUCAUAGGCCGAGAGCGCGAGCUCUCAUUGGCUAGCUCAGCACCUGUCAAUCCUUUUAAUCUGGGCCGUGGUAGAUUAAUAGAAUAAAUAGAUGGCGUGAAUAUUCGCUUUGUAUGAGGAGACGCGGUAAAGUCUAGGGCGGGCUGUGCCCAGCUCCUGUUAACGGGGAAUUGGUCUUCUGAUACAUUAGUGAUAAGGGUUUAUUGGCUACUGUAGCCCAUAGUGACCAUGUACAAAAUACAAUAUUUUUUCUGUUUGACAGAAAUCUCAGUACCAAUUUCUACUGUAAGUUAUUAACCUUGUGUGUGGUGUUUUUUUAUAGGUAAUAAUGCAGUAACAUCAGUUCAUUUCACACCAUGCAUUACACGUAAAGGUCUUUUAUAUAUUUAUUGAUGUUUUUGUGAAUAUUUAAAUGAUUAAAUGUUAUCAUGAAGUUAUCCAUAGUAACCUAGAUUGCUAACUGUUUCCGAUGGCUAUCAAAAAACAUCAGGGCCCAUUAUGACGACUGGAGAAAUAUGCUAUAUUUUGACCUAUUAGGAAAUAUUUAGGCUAAUAACACAUCCUUGUGAAAAAUCCAAGAAUUGUACCCUAAAUCAUGUUAAAGGCUAUUACUUGAAAUGCCUAUAUGAUACGUUGACUCUAAUGAUCUUUCAUCCUUCCAAUUAUGAAACGAAGAUAAAUGAUAAAGUAUGGAUUGAUGACAGUGGUUAUAUCCCUUGAAAGAAAACAUUGUUAUAACUUUGUCAUAGACUAGUUUGGUCUGUUUCUGUAAAAAUCAACUAGCCUAAUAAGUUUAUAUUAUAAUCAUAAUCAUAAUAUUGGCAAACCAAGUCAUGUCUUCCAUUGUUGGUGCCCCUAUAAUAUUGAAAUGAUAGCUUUCUGAAAACAGUUCAUUUGACGUUAGCACAAAGUAGCUUCAAGGCCUAUAUAUUCAUAACAGCAUAUGAAUCAUUCUCACCCUUGUAUAAAAUAUAAUUAAAGUUUGGGUGUUAUUGAUGGAGUAGCCAAGAAGGCUACAUUAUAGAUCAUAUACCUUUUCGAAUGCGUGAAAAACGAAUCGAAUUUUGGUUUCUGUAAGAGUAAUGCAUAAAGCUUUGUAACGAACUCUACGUGAUGAAAUUUCACACAACAUUCACAUUGUCAUACUGUACUGUAGUUUUAGGCUAUACAUAACUAGGUCUGUGUUUUCAUUACGGUCAUGCAUAAGACGGUUUCGAGGUUUGAAAUUCAAGUUAAUGUGUAGGCCUAAUAUCAAUAGUGGGAAUUUGGCCUAUAGGCUGAGGGGUCGCCUCAAAAUAUGAAAACCGAUUGAUACUUAUUAAAUACGCGCAAUUAUUCACCUGAAUGAAACGUGGUUAUAGGCCUACAGUAGAGUCAGACAUGUCCCAUGUAUGAGAGACUCGUUAUAAUUCUUUGGAAUUUUGAUUCAGUGAAAUGGUUCAUUCCAUUGUCUGGCCUCGGUUUUACAUUUCGCAUAUGGGAGAUUCCAUUUUCUCAUGAAGAAUAGGGGAUGUCUCAGCAGAAUCAAACAUCGUCCAUUGGUUGCCUGUGGCCUGCUGUUUUAGUAUUGCACUUUCACGUCAUUGAUACACCAAUAUUUAUUUCAGAACUUUAAGGUGUGUGUGUGUGUGUGUGUGUGUGUGUGUGUGUGUGUGUGUGUGUGUGUGUGUGUGUGUGUGUGUGUGUGUGUGUGUGUGUGUGUGUGUGUGUGUGUGUGUGUGUGUGAAGACUGUCAUUUGUGUGUUGUAGAUAUAAACAUGUAGUUAUGUAUACGCUCAGUUAGGCCUAUUAUGAAAUUAUCCCUCACAAACGAAAUUCCACACUUCUCAAAAUGUAUCCAGGUCCAAUUGGUUAUGUUUAUUCUUAACCAUGUCCUUAAAUUCAUGAGUUGAGGAAUUCAGAUAAAAACACAAUUUCAUAUAACUAGCCUACCAUUUUGACUGCAAUGAUAGGAGUGAUAGUAUGAAUACAGCAAUUUCUUUUCACUGAUUUAAGAGCAAAUUGUGUUUGAGGAUUUAUAUAAAGCACAUUAUCAUUAGGCUAAAAGAGCAGUAAAUGGACUAGUGAUUAGGUUAUUAUUCAAAAAGACAAUUUAUGUUCAUUUGGCACCAAAUACUCCAAAGUUGGUAAAAUUACGUUUCACAUGAUCAAAUAAUGAUGAUGAAUGAUUAUGAAACGAUUAAUCUUUCCAAUCUUUAUUAGACUUAUUAAUCCGUUGUUUUAUCUGGCCUAUGUCUUCAACUCUGUAAGAUGAUGCAAUACAAUGCAAAUGACAUGCUUUCUGGUGAGCAUAGCCUAACUCCAGCGACAUAUAUAUAUAUAUAUAUAUAUAUGUAUGCUACUGAUUUCGUAUUCAUAUUCAACAAGAAUGGGUGUGGCAAAGAAGUAUGGUGACAUCCAUAGUGGAAAGUGUCGUAUAGGCCUACAAUGAUAUUGAAUGGUAACUCGUUGUCAAUGGCUUUUCGUGAUAAUCUGAGUUUUGAGUGACUGGCCUGUUCCUACCUCGAAUAAUCAGAUGAAAGUAAGAUUGCGUGUUGACCUCGAUCAGAUAGGCCUAAGUAUUCUCUCCCUGCAUUAUACAAUAAUGGCAUUGGCGUUUUAUAUGACAAAAUGAGCUACAUACUGGCCUCGUUUAUAAGAUUAAUAUUUUUUGUUGUUGUUGAGGGGAAAUCAUUUUUGUGCAUUAUGAUAUCCAAUGUUCUUUUGAUAGUGGAAUGGAUUUUAAGCCGGCUUUAUUCAGUGAGCUGCAAUACAUCAAAAGAGAGAGUCGUUCUUUUUUCACUGAUGUCUAUGCAUUGUGAACCAGAGAGGGAAGCUCUGGUUUUAUGCUAUUUUGGAAUCUGAGGCUAUUGCAGAGCGCUUGGUCACGGCGGUGUCCACCACAGUGUCCCAGGGUUGCUCAACCAUGUGUGUCAAUAAGCAUACCUAAUGCUGGUGACAUCACAUUUCUAUUGGCCGUGUGACCCCCGUGGCCUGUGAGAGUUUCUCCCUGCCCCAGCCAAGCUCCCGGUGUCUCCGACCAUGACAGUUGCGUCUCUUUCUCCUCUCCUCGUUUUGUGCUAUCUCUUGAACUGUGGUAAAUUUCUCGAUAACGUGUUAUGACCGGUGUACUUCCAUACUUCCCGGAGACGGUGUGCGUAAAAGCUUUGUUUGAUGAAUGUACCGGCAAUGUAUGGGACAUCUUUUGAGCUUUUGUGGAUCCGUGGCUCUCACUCUACUGACAGAAUGGCUUCUAUCAGGAGUUGAAUGGGAAUUCAGAACUUGCUUGUUUGCCUAUGUGAGCCAUCAUGGAAUGUUUAUGCAGGCCCAUAGCCUUUACUGUGCCAUUUGAUUACUAAAGAUGAAUCCCUAGAACAGAGGGCUGUAUCAUUAUUUGAACAUAUACCAUCUUCUCAAGCCAGAAAAACAAAAGAAACACAGAGAAAUAAUUUGAGUGAGAGAGAUCAGUAGCUGUGUGGGCCUGGACAAGGAGAACAGGAGGAGGAGGAGAAACAGAGAGAAAAAUAGGAAGAGAAGGAGAGGAUAGGAAUGAUGCCUGUUUGGAAGCAGUGAAUGAUGAACCAGGGAGCAGGUGAACCCAGCUGUCGAUGGCCAUGGGCUCUCUGGCUCCUCUCUUCCCGUGGCCCUCUGCGCCGUGCCGGGUUCUCAGGGAGCCGGCUGGGGCCAGCCAGGCAGCGGCAGAGUGGGCAGGCGAGCCGAGGCAAGGGGAGGCGAGGCAGGCUCUCAUCCCCGCUAGCAAGAUGCUCCUCAGCAAAGCGGAGCAGCAAAUCAAUAUGGAGGAGAGAGGCUAGCAGGGUUCGCCCAUCACUGCCCCCGGCCCUAGAGCCCAGGGACCCAGCGCUGCCAGCUCUCGCUCUCCUCCUCCUCUAGUAGCAGGACCAGAACCAGCCACUGUAUGGAGCACAUCAGUCAGAUCCUAACCCUCAACCACCUGCUUUCUCUCUAUCUGUGUGUGUGUAAGCAUGUCUGUAUGUGUGGUUCUGCCGUAGGGGCUUUCGUGGUCCAAGACCACUUGCUAAAGCUUUGCCAGCGAGAAAGAGAGAGAAUAAAAAACGGACGUCAAAGGUCUUUUUCUUUUUUUUUCUCUGAUUACUCAUUCUUACUCAUUCCACCUGACUGUUUGAGCGAGAGUUCUUAUAUUGAAUUGAACAGGGCUCUCUCGUCAGUCCCCCUCCAAGCAUGUACUGUACAGUCACCAUGCUCUCCACAUGUGAUGAACCAGGAUAAAAGGACAAUUUGAACUUUUUUCUCUCGUCUGCAGAUUCAGAGAAAAUCUUUUUCGCCUCCAGUUUUCUUCCUCACCACUCAGGUUACUAUCAGAGGAGGUGGCAGAGGUUAUUGAUCUGUAUGGAGAAGGAAGAGGUGCUGGUUUUAAUACAGUACCGUUCACUGUCUGAUGGUUAUAUAGUAGUGGCUGAUAACCCAUUCACUGUACAGCUGAACUAUAUUCAGGAGUGAACGAGUCCUGAGUGAGAGAUGAAAAGGACGGUGAGCAGAUAAUGCCUGAACAGUGGCCUGAACAGUAUCCACUAUUUCAUGUGACUUUUCUCCUCCAUAUUUGAAUCAAUCUCUCCACAUAAGAAGCUUUGAAAAGACCUUCUACGCAAGAAACCCUAUCUUUAGAUACAUAGAAAUAGAAAACAUUUGAUUAAAUAAGAAUGACUGUAAGUGCUGUAUGGACACACAAAAAGCUGAAUUACAUUUAUUUCAUUGGAGAAGAAAAGGAUUGAAAACUGCUGGGCUGGAGAGGACAAAAGGGACAGAGCUUGUUUGGACCUGAAACAGUAACAACUUCACAGAGUGAGAUCUACAAACAACACAAUGUUGCAGACUUCACUUGAUGCUGAGGUUCCAAUGGAGAUGCAGUGGAAGCAUCAAGCAUCAUGUCCCGUGCAGACCAAACCAGACACACAGAGAUGUAAAGCCGUCCACUGUUCUUGUAAUAAAGGUCAAUAGAAAUACCCCACCACAGUCAAGAGGAUUCAGUUCUCCAAUCUACUGAUUAUCACCAAAUGUUUGUGUGGUCAGGUAAGUGGGAGUCUUAACAAGGGAAAGGCACAUUUAUAAGUGUAAAAAAAGUAAUAUAUUUUUUGGAAUAGUUUCAUUAGGUCUUAAUGAAAGAUUUUGAAACCAAUUUUAGGGGGAUAUUGGUUGAGAUCCCAAGGGAUCCUUUGCCGUUUCUAUUUCAGAGUAAAGCUUUUAAAUGUAAAAUCCUUGAUUUGCUCUAGUCUUUGUAUGCGUUUGCACUUCAGCUUCAUUCCCUAACCUAUAAUUUUCAUAUCAUUGAUCGUAAUAACUAUUUUUUAUGUAAAAAAUUAAAGACUGCUACAUGUUUCAGUGUCUUGUGGUACAAAAUUAAAAUAAAGUGAACUUAAUUGAAAAAAGAAAAGCUGCCUCAGUAGUUUUAUUUUUGUUUUUCCAUUUAAAUUAAUCAAAUGAAAGUUUAUCAAUGACCAUACACUGCAUAUUGUAGGUACCAAUGUAGGAUUCUAAUUUGAGCCAGUUUGCUACAGCAAGAAAAUAAUGCUGCAGCAACAGGAAAUUAUUAUGUGGAUUAUAAUUGAACACAACAUUUUUGUAGGGGUUGAUACAUGUGUAAUGUUAGGUCAAAUCAAAGUGGAAACUACAAACUUUAGAAGCAGUGCAGGAAAAUUCGCAUCAACAAAAGAGUGAUCAAAUUAAGAUCCUACAUCUGUAUACAAUAUGAACGUGGGUAAUUUCACACAGGAGGUCCAACAUUUGAAACAGCUAUUCAGAUCAUCUCAGAGUUAUCUUGAAGGACCAGAAAGGAGACAGUUAAACCAAGUGGCCUACGUCUUUGGUGCCAAUUAGGUCCCUGUGUAUGAGAGCAAAGUGGGUGUGGAAGGAAGCUGCUGGAGCUGAAGAAGGAGCUACACACAGGCCUUGUUUUUUAGUGAUCACGCCUCCUAUUGUUUUCCCACAACAGCCGGUUCAUGCGAUGCCCCAAAACCCCCAGUGCGCUUCAGUGCUCUGGCUGAAAUGGGCUCUCUGUUCCCUGCACUGGGCUGCCCGCCUAGCUCCUGCCUCGCCCUGACUGGUAAUGACCUGAAAUUAGGGCCAAGCCAGGAGGGGAGGCCCUGGGCCCUGGUCUGAAAGAAAGGAGGAGAUUAUCCCAUUCUGCCCGGCCAGUCAGCAGUGGUGGUAUUGACCAGGGCCCACCCAGGGAGGGUCCAGUGAGCCGUGAGAUGGCCUGAUAUACAUGCUUAUUGAGCUGGACAGAUUCCCUCACUCUCACCAGGGAUAAACCAAACCGUACAAGACACUUUCUUAAACACUGCUCUGGAGAUUAUAGGAGUGACCCCCCCCCCCCUGGGUGGAAACACACAAACUGGGCAGACCUCACCCUAUCCUCUGUCCAGACUGCCACUGGGAGUUUGGCCAGGCUUCUCAAUGUCGCUGUCCUGAGAGCCGAAAAGGGGUCAUCAGACCAAACAUCCUACAGUGGCCUAAUGAAAAACACUCGGAAAGUAUUCAGACCCCUUGCCUUUUUCCAAAUUUUUUACGUUACAGCCUUAUUCUAAAAUUGAUUAAAUUCAUGUUGUUCCUCGUCAAUCUACACACAAUACCCCAUAAUAACAAAGCGAAAACAGGUUUUUAGAAUGUUUUGCAAAUGUAUAAAAAAGAAAAAACAGAAAUACCUUAUUUACACAAGAAUUCAGACCCUUUGCAAUGAGACUCGAAAUUGAGCUCAGGUCCAUCCUGUUUCCAUUGAUCGUCCUGGUUUCUACAACUUGGUAAAUUCAAUUGAUUGGACAUGAUUUGGAAAGGCACACACCUGUCUAUAUAAAAGGUCCCACAGUUGACAGUGCAUGUCAGAGCAAAAACCAAGCCGUGAGGUAAAAGGAAUUGUCCAUAGAGCUCUGAGACAGGAUUGUGCCGAGGCACAGAUCUGGGGAACGGUACCAAAAAAUUUCUGAAGGUCCCCAAGAACACAGGGGCCUCCAUAAUUCUUAAAUGGAAGAAGUUUGUAACCAUGAAGACUCUUCCUAGAGCUGGCUGCCCGGCCAAACUGAGCAAUCGGGGGAGAAGGGCCUUGGUCAGGAAGGUGACCAAGAACCGAUGGUCACUCUGACAGAGCUCCAGAGUUCCUCUGUGGAGAUGGGAGAACAUUCCAGAAGGACAUCCAUUUCUGCAGCACUCCACAAUCAAGCCUUUAUGGUAGGGUGGCCAGACGGAAGCCACUCCUCAGUAAAAGGCACAUGACAGCCCGCUUGGAGUUUGCCGAAAGGCACCUAAAGGACUCUCAGACCAUGAGAAACAAGAUUCUCUGGUCUGAUGAAUCCAAGAUUGAACUAUUUGGCCUGAAUGCCAAGCGUCACGUCUGGCGGAAACCUUUUUUAUUUUUUAUUUCACCUUUAUUUAACAAGGUAGACCAGCUGAGAAAGAGUUCUCAUUUACAACUGUGACCUGGCCAAGAUAAAGCAAAGCAGUGCGACAAAAACAACACAGUUACACAUGGGAUAAAUAAACGUAGAAAAAUCUGUAUACAGUGUGUGCAAAUGAAGUAAGGAGAUAGGGCAAUAAAUAGGCCAAUAGUGGUGAAGUAAUUACAAUUUAGCAAUUAACACUGGAGUGAUAUGUGUGCAGAUGAGGAUGUGCAAGUAGAAAUACUGUUGUAUUUGAGCAGAAAAAUAAAACAAAUAUGGGGAUGAGGUAGGUAGUUGGUUGGAUGGGCUAUUUACAGAUGGGCUGUGUACAGCUGCAGCUAUCGGUAAGCUGCUCUGACAGCUGACACUUAAAGUUAGUGAGGGAGAUAUAAGUGUCCAACUUCAGUGAUUUUUGCAAUUCGUUCCAGUCAUUGGCAGCAGAGAAUUGGAAUGAAAGGAGGCCAAAGUAGGUGUUGGCUUUGGGGAUGACCAGUGAAAUAUACCUGUUGGAGCGCAUGCUAUGGGUGGGUGUUGCUAUGGUGACCAGUGAGCUGAGAUAAGGCGGAGCUUUACCUAGCAAAGACUAAUAGAUGACCUGGAGCCAGUGGGUUUGGCGACGAAUAUGUAGCGAGGACCAGCCAACGAGAGCAUACAGGUUACAGGGGUGGGUAGUAUAUGAGGCUUUGGUGACAAAAUGGAUGGCACUGUGAUAGACUGCAUCCAAU
rnacentral:lncRNA from 1 species